rnacentral:lncRNA from 1 species
UUAUGUGACCAACAAGAGGAAUUUAUUUUUGCCACCAUUCUCUUCAUCAAUAAAAUUCAGAAGCACAAUCACCAAAGUUUCCGAUUUCAUGGGUUUUGAUUUGGGGGCCUUUGGGAUUCUGGGGUUCGAUAGUUGGAACAGCUCGUGGGUGAGAGUUUCUCAGCAAGAAUUUUGGAGUUCUCUGCUAGUUGGAUGAUUUUGAAAUGAUUUGGGGGUUUGAGAUUUG